CAUUUCUAAAUUCUGCAGUCUCAAUUUCACACAGCAAGUUAAGAAAUAAAUAUCUUCCACCACACCUAUUCAAGGUCCAGACGGGAAGUGAAAGCUAAAGAAGGAGGUAACUCUACGCCCCUAGUGGGAACGAAUAAGGUUGAGCGGGUGAUGGAAUGGAGUGGAGUUGAGCGGAUGUACCUUUUGAC